rnacentral:rRNA from 1 species
GGAUAUUGCACAAUGGGCGCAAGCCUGAUGCAGCGACGCCGCGUGGGUGAUGACGGUCUUCGGAUUGUAAAACCCUUUUCUGGUUGACGAGGAAGGACGGUAGCCCAGGAAGAAGUGUCGGCUAACUACGUGCCAGCAGCCGCGGUAAAACGUAGGACACGAGCGUUAUCCGGAGUUACUGGGCGUAAAGGGCGUGCAGGCGGCAUGGUAAGUCUGAUGUGAAAGCUCCCGGCUCAACCGGGAGAGGACAUUGGAGACUGCCAAGCUCGAGGCAGAUAGAGGGCUGUAGAAUUCCGGGUGUAGUGGUGAAAUGCGUAGAGAUCCGGAGGAAUACCAGAGGCGAAGGCGGCAGCCUGGGUCUGACCUGACGCUGAGACGCGACAGCAUGGGGAGCGAACGGG